rnacentral:rRNA from 1 species
CACGUAGGGCGCAAGCGUUGUCCGGAAUUAUUGGGCGUAAAGAGCUCGUAGGCGGUCUGUUGCGUCCGCUGUGAAAACCCGGGGCUUAACCCCUGGCUUGCAGUGGAUACGGGCAGACUAGAGGUAGGUAGGGGAGAAUGGAAUUCCCGGUGUAGCGGUGAAAUGCGCAGAUAUCGGGAGGAACACCGGUGGCGAAGGCGGUUCUCUGGGCCUUCCUGACGCGAGGAGCGAAAGCGUGGGGAGCGAACAGG